rnacentral:lncRNA from 1 species
AAAGAAUUAAAAUUUAAGUCCGUGUUCCAGAUGUCGGGUUACAAAGUUCUGUUGGGAAAGCAGGCUAACCUGAUCUUGUCCUUGGAUGGGAAGGUGGUGAUGGAGACACUCAGGGAGAAAAAUGCAGGAACAGGAAAUAAGUGAUGUAGACAGCACAGGUGAUGAAUCGUGGCAACCAGUUGACAGUCCUCCCGACGGAAACGACUGAGACGGAGCGAUGGAGUCGAAAGAUGAACAUGCGAAAGUCGGAAAGAUCGGAGAAGUUUCUUUUGAAUUCUUCUCUUUGUAUGACUUCUUCGGUAUAUCGUUUAAACCUGAGUUCUGCCAAGAUACUUCCCACGAUUGUUUUUAUAAGGUCUCCAAUAUCAAGACCUUUUGCCUCAGCUGGUGAAGGG